rnacentral:rRNA from 1 species
UGAACACAGGUGCUGCAUGGCUGUCGUCAGCUCGUGUCGUGAGAUGUUGGGUUAAGUCCCGCAACGAGCGCACCCCUUGUCUCUAGUUGCUACUAAAGGGCACUCUAAAAAGACUGCCGGUGACAAACCGGAGGAAGGUGGGGAUGACUUCAAGUCCUCAUGGCCCUUAUGGGUAGGGCUUCACACGUCAUACAAUGGUGCAUACAGAGGGUUGCCAAGCCGCGAGGGGAACCCAAUCCCAAAAAAUGCAUCGAAUUCCGGAUCGUAUUCUGCAACUCGACUACGUAAAGUUGGAAUCGC